CAGUCGCCGCGGUAAUACGGAGGGUGCAAGCGUUAAUCGGAAUUACUGGGCGUAAAGCGCACGCAGGCGGUCUGUCAAGUCAGAUGUGAAAUCCCCGGGCUUAACCUGGGAACUGCAUUUGAAACUGGCAGGCUAGAGUCUUGUAGAGCGGGGUAGAAUUCCAGGUGUAGCGGUGAAAUGCGUAGAGAUCUGGAGGAAUACCGGUGGCGAAGGCGGCCCCCUGGACAAAGACUGACGCUCAGGUGCGAAAGCGUGGGGAGCAAACAGGAUUAGAUACCCCGGUAGUCCCUGUCUCUUAUAC
rnacentral:rRNA from 1 species